rnacentral:tRNA from 1 species
GCCACAGUGGCUCAGUUGGUAGAGCAGACGAUUCGUAAUCGUCAGGUCAUGGGUUCGACUCCCAUCUGUGGCU